rnacentral:snoRNA from 1 species
CUACGAGUAUUCUUGCUGUUCUGAUUUCCUAAUAGUCGAGGCAGGCUAAACAUUCACUAUAUUAAGACCAUGCAUGUGUCCCCAGAUCUACUUCUUUUCCUAAGAAAAGAAGUUUUUAUAAAUGGUUUUAUAAAUGCUGGUGAUAAAC